rnacentral:rRNA from 1 species
GGGGGGGGGGGGGGGGGGGCGGAGGACGGGCAGGGCGGGCGGGGGGGCGGGGUGCUUGGUGGUGGGGGGGGAGGGGGGGCGAACGGGGGAGUAACACGGGAGUAACCUGCCCCCGGCGUCUGGAGAACCGCAGGAAAGUGUGGCUAAGACGGGAUAUUCUGGGUCUGUCGCAUGAUGGGUCUGGGAAAGAUAUUGUUUCGGUGGGGGAUGGGCUCGCGGCCUAUCAGCUUGUUGGUGGGGUGAUGGCCUACCAAGGCGGUGACGAGUAGCCGGCCUGGGGGGGUGGGCGGUCACACUGGGACGGCGCCGCGGCCCAGACUCCUACGGGAGGCAGCAGUGGGGCAUAUUGCACGAUGGGCGGAAGCAUGAUGCAGCGACGCCGCGGGAGGGAUGGAGGCCUGCGGGUUGUGAACCUCUUUCGCCAGUGAAGCAGGCCUGCCUCGUUUGUGGGUGGGUUGACGGUAGCUGGAUAAGAAGCGCCGGCUAACUACGUG